CCUUAUACCAUGUUCUCAAAUCUAGAUAUCAUCUCCCAUUUAGAAAAAAAAACACAUGUGAAAAAUGAACCUAUUAUGUGUUGCUCUCCUAGCUACAAAAUGUAUUCAAAAUCAAAGAUGUAGAACAUAUUCUAUCAUAAUCAUUUGGUAACUAAUGUAAUGAUUACUGUCUCCUCCAUGCCUGUCUUGAACAUAAAAAAAAUAUUAAAUAAAUAACACUCCUAAUUCUCAGUUCUGUUGUCACCGUGCAAGACAGUUAAUAACACCAUAUAGAAAAAAAACAUAGAACUUCUUUUGUCAUAAGACACUGUCAAACAUCCAAACAUACUAUCCACACUCAUCUUUGUCCACGC
rnacentral:lncRNA from 1 species